UCCAUCUGUCGUUCAUUUACAGAAGAAGAACUAACACGGCGCGGUAUAUCAAUAGCGGUAACACCUGUUUACAUUGAUGGGACUUCGUACGGCGGAAGGUUUGAAUUAAACUAAUAAAACUAAUACAACUGUACAGUGAAUGCAAAGUGGACAAUGGCAGAGGAAUCAGAUGGUUAUAUACGGGAUCAUGAGGAUUUGGAUGAAAAUGACAAUGUUCUGGGAGGAAAUUAGGAAAAAAAGCAAACUUCUAGGACACCAACAAGUAAUAUCUACAGUUCAAACACAGUGAGACAGAAUAAUGAGAACCAUAUGAGAGAGAUAACACAACAGACAAAGUAGGUGGCGGUAUGCACCAAAGAGAUGUCACCCGCCAGUAAACCAAGAAGAAGAAGAAGAAGAAGAAGAGCGAUGAUCGUAUCGCAGUAUCGAUAAACCCAACGUGACUGGUUAAGUUAUUUUGUUCAAUAAAAUUGUUCAAGCUAAACUAAAUGUUUCUUAAUGUGUACUAUUAUGUGUAUUGUGUGUACUGGUAUGUGUAUUGUGUGUACUACUAUGUUGUACAAUUUUAUGUAUGACCAAAGCAAAUUCCUGUGUAACAUACCUGGCGAAAUCAAGUGAUUCUGGUUCUGAAUGUAUUUAAGGUUAAAAAACAAAUUGCAGCGUCAUUAAGUCACUGCUGUUAUUGUAAUGAGUCACAGUGCAGGUGAUCACCAACACUACAUGCAUGAACGCUACAUUAGUGCAAAAAAUUGCAAAAAUUAGUGGUGUGCGAUACUGCAAAAUUUGCUAUUGAUCCGAUACCAAGUAAAUACAGGGCCAGUAUCGCCGAUACCGAUCCAAUACUUUUUACUUAUAAAGCAGUUUAUUUACUUUCAUGUAGGGAACAGCAGUGAGUCAUGAUUUAUGAGGUGAAUGUAUCAUCAAUUUGCUUUCACUAAUAAAUGAUUGUGUUCAUGUAAGGGUCCCGCCGGUGCAGUCGACCUCAAACAGUCAGACUCCAAACUCAACCAUGGCCAAGACCAAAGAGCUGUCGAAGGACACCAGGAAGAAAAUUGUGGUCUGCACCAGGCUGGGAAGAGUGAAUCUACAAUAGGCAAGCAGGUUGGUGUGAAUAAAUCAACUGUGGGAGCAAUUGUAAGAAAAUGGAAGACAUACAAGACCAUUGAUAAUCUCCCUCGAUCUGGGGCCCCACGCAAGAUCUCAUCCCGUGGGGUCAAAAUGAUCAUGAGAACGGUGAGCAAAAAUCCCAGAACUACACGGAGGGACCUGAUGAAUGACCUGCAGAGAGCUGGGACUAAAGUAACAAAGGCUAGCAUCAGUAACACACUACGCCGAGAGGGACUCAAAUCCUGCAGUGCCAGGCGUGUCCCCCUGCUUAAGCCAGUACAUGUCCAGGCCCGUCUGAAGUUUGCCAGAAGAGGAUUGGGAGAAUAUCACGUGGUCAGAUGAAACCAGAAUGGAACAUUUUGGUAAAAACUCAACUAGUCGUGUUUGGAGGAAGAAGAAUGCUGAGUUGCAUCCCAAGAACACCAUACCUACUGUGAAGCAUGGGGGUGGAAACAUCAUGCUUUGGGGCUGUUUUUCUGCAAAGGGGACAGGACGACUGAUCCGUGUUAAGGGAAGAAUGAACAGGGCCAUGUAUCGUGAGAUUUUAAGCCAAAACUUCCUUCCAUCAGUGAGAGCAUUGAAGAUGGAACGUGGCUGGGUCUUCCAGCAUGACAAUGAUCCCAAACACACCGCUCGGGCAACGAAGGAGUGGCUCCGUAAAAAGCAUUUCAAGGUCCUGGAGUAGCCUAGCCAGUCUCCAGACCUCAACCCCAUAGAAAAUUUGUGGAGGGAGUUGAAAGUCCGUGUUGCCCAGCGACAGCCCCAAAACAUCACUGCUCUAGAGGAGAUCUGCAUGGAGGAAUGGGCCAAAAUACCAGCUACAGUGUGUGCAAACCUGGUGAAGACUUACAGGAAACGUUUGACCUCUGUCAUUGCCAACAAAGGUUAUGUUACAAAGUAUUGAGUUGAACUUUUGUUAUUGACCAAAUACUUAUUUUCCACCAUAAUUUAUAAAAAAAAUCUUUAAAAAUCCUACAA